CUGCACAUUCGGGGCGGCAGAUUCCACACGGAGGAGGCCCCGGGGGCGGCGUUCUGGGAGUCCUGACAGCACCGGUCCCCCUCCCUUCGUUUUGGAAAUGAGCGCGUUUUAGGGCAAAAGGAAAACACAGUAAAUCCGUAAACCUCAAAGGGGCACACGAUUUUUAAUUUUUUUUUAAAGUUCUGCUUUUAAACCACGAGCGGAUCAGACGAUUCGCCACAGCACUGCUGGCAGGACGCUGUUCCCGCCAAGACACUCGAGUGUUUGCCCAAGGAACAUGUUGGAAUGACCCAGGAAAAUGAAGUUGAACAUCUGUGAGUCACAGAUCAGGGCAAUCACGAAUUUUGCAAAUCACACACCUCUUUGAUUAGGUGUGCCUAGUGUUACUGGCAAAGGAGGUAGCCUUGCGGUGUUUACAACAGCUGAUGAGCCAGCGUUUGGGGGAAUGUGGUUGGAGUUUGAGUUAUUUGGACAAUGGUCCAGUUGAAGGAACUGACAGCUUUAUAACAGCUUUUCAAGGCUUCUCCUAAGAUGAAGAUGUUGAACCUAUACUUCCCAUUAGUGCUUGAUUUUCAAAUUAUGACUGAUUCUUAUUUUUAUCAAGUUCUGGAAAAGACCAAGACACUAAAGAAAGAGCCGUCCCAAUGCUAAUCCUGUGGUAGGGUCUCUUAAUUUUGUUAUAGUAUUAAUGGGAACUCAGGUGAUCUCAGGUAUAAAGUUUGUAGUUUGCUAGUAUAUUUAUUACCAGAGUUUUUGUAUCAUCAAAUUAGUGUGGGUUUUUUUUUUUUUUUUGGUUUUUUUUUUUGUGGUUGUUACUUUUGUCUCUUUUUCUCAGAAAAUAAUUCCGUUCUAAAGUUUGGUAACACAAGUAGACUCUUAAUUGAGUUAACAUUAGUACUUCUUUAAUGAUACAAUCAUUUUGCCAUGUUGGAAGACACUGUUUUGGAAGAAGACAUCUGGGAAUAUAAAUCCAAAAGAAAGCUAAAGUCAGUACUUUCAAGUAGUUCUGAGAAUAUCCCAAAAUCUGUUGGAAAAGCAACAGAUGGAAAAUACCCAUCAAAACGAAACAGAAGUAAGAAAAGAACUGUAGUAGCUAAAGAGAAGGCAAAGGACCCAGAAGUGUGCUUGGGAGACACCGAUAAUGAGGUUUCUGUAGCUUCUAGUCAGGAUUCUAGUUGUGGAGAUGGUACCCAGCAGUCCCAAGACAAGGAAACCACCCCUGGAAAGCGGUGUAAGACUCACAAAAACCAAGUGUCUCCAAAGGUACGUCCCGUUUAUGAUGGACACUGUCCAAACUGCCAAAUGCCUUUUUCCUCAUUACUGGGCCAGACACCUCGAUGGCAUGUUUUUGAGUGCUUGGAUUCUCCACCAGUCUCUGAAACAGAGUGUCCUGAUGGUCUUCUGUGUACCUCAACAAUUCCUUCUCAUUACAAGAAAUACACUCACCUUCUGCUGGCUCAAAGCAGGGCUAGUAAUAGUCCUUUCAGCAGUCCAGCCCACAGGUCAGCUGACAGUUUCACUGAGCCUAAUUCCCACUUUCCUUAUAACCCGGAGGAAGGAUGGUCUCUGUAUCAGAAACAAACCAAAAACUUAAAUGUUUCAACUGAUGCUUUGCUAGUGACGCAGUGCCUAAGAAACUCUCAGUCUCCAACUGAAACCAAUAAAAAGAUUUCCUCUUCCACAAAUAGCCAAACCUCCCAGCAAGCUCCUCACUUUACAGAAUUUGUUAAUAAUGGCAAACUAGGAGUUGGUUUGCUCCUUGAUGAAGAAUUAGGCAGCCAAAACAGCUCAGAACACAUAAAUUUGCCAUUGCCAGAAAAUGACUUAAGCAACUGUGAAAUUUCCUAUUCACCACUGCAAAGUGAUGAGGAAAGUUUUGAUGGAGAUGAAGAGCUGGCUGAGUCCCAACAGGAAAUGUUUUUCACAGAAAGCUCUAAAGAUGGCAGCCUAGGAGAAAAUGACAACAGCUUCACAUCAGUUAAACUCCACGGUCCCUUAGACCAGAAAGAGAACUGCCCCAAAGUGAACAGCUUAACUCACAAUAAAUACAGUGAAGAAUUGUACAAAUGCAGCCUUCUAAAUGAUUCAUCUCCAGGUAGGUUCCAGAAUGAGAGAAUUAUAAUAUGUGAUGAUUCAGCAACUUCUAAUGGUGAUUUUUUGUUGUUUCCACCUGCGUUAGUAGAGGGACCUAUCUCUAGUUAUCCAGCUGCUAAAGCAAAAGCUGACAAGCCAGAACUCCUCUCAUCUCAGUCAAAUAAACAGAAACAGGUAGUUGAAGAAUCAGGUGCUCAUAAUCAGAUCUCCCUUCCCUUAUUUAAGAGUAAAAUGUCAAAAUCUUUUGAAAGCCAGGGAGAAGGGUGUCUUUCUUUCCAUCCAACCCAAAAUAAAAUUAGAGAAUCACCAAGUAAGAACUUCAAUGCUAAGAAUGAUGCUAAUACAGAAUAUAUCUGCAGAAGGGCAUUAGAUGGCAUGCUGGACAGUAAAGUUUCAAAGACACAGAAAUUUUCUAGUGCUCCUGCUGCUGCUAAGCCUUUGAAAAUACCGCCAUCCAGUCCUACCUCUAAUGCAGCACAACCGUCUGCCAAGGCCAUGAAACAAAUGGAUAUUGGUGUGUAUUUUGGACUACCACCCAAGAAAAAGGAGGAGAAAAUGCCAGGGAAAAGUGCAUUAGAAGCAGUGAACUCAAGUCCAAAUCAAAAGAGAUCCCGGCAGUGCAAGAGGAAAGCAGAAAAAUCUUUAAGUGAUUUAGAAUUCGAUUCACAGAAUUUAAAUGAGAGUCAGCUGUCUGUGGAAUUAUCUAGUCCAAGGUCACAGCAUCAAAGAAAGAGACGUAAAAAGUCAGAUUCACUUCAGGAAGGAGCAUAUCAGAAGAAGUCAGGUCACCUUAUUAAUACAGAAUCUGAAGCAGUCAAUUUAAGUAAAGACAUACCAGCUCCUGGCAGGCGGUGGAGAGGGAAAACAAAAAUCCCAGAGCCAUAUAACAUGAGAGAAAUAAGAAAGAGGACAUGUCCAUUCUAUAAGAAAAUACCUGGAACUGGCUUUACAGUGGAUGCCUUCCAGUAUGGGCCGGUUGAAGGUUGCACCGCCUAUUUUCUCACCCAUUUUCACUCUGAUCACUAUGCUGGAUUGUCUAAACACUUCACCCUUCCAGUUUAUUGUAGUGAGAUAACUGGAAAUUUGUUGAAGAGCAAACUUCAUGUGCAAGAACAAUAUAUCCAUCCAUUGCCAAUGGACACUAAAUGUACAGUAAAUGGUAUCAGUGUUGUUUUACUUGACGCCAACCACUGUCCAGGAGCAGUGAUGAUCCUUUUUUAUCUUCCGAAUGGUCAUGUCAUCUUGCACACCGGCGACUUCAGAGCUGACCCCAGCAUGGAGCGUUCUUUUCUGGCGGGUCAGAAAGUCCACACACUUUACCUGGAUACCACGUAUUGCAGCCCAGAAUACUCCUUUCCGUCUCAGCAAGAGGUUAUCCAGUUUGCCAUCAACACUGCCUUUGAGGCUGUAACUCUAAACCCACGUGCUCUUGUUGUCUGUGGUACUUAUUCUAUUGGAAAAGAGAAAGUCUUCCUAGCUAUUGCUGAUGUUUUAGGUUCAAAAGUGGGAAUGUCCCGAGAAAAAUAUAAAACGUUACAGUGCCUCAAUAUACCAGAAAUUAAAUCUCUCAUCACUACAGACAUGGGCAGUUCACUGGUUCACCUUCUCCCAAUGAUGCAAAUUAACUUUAAGGGUUUACAGAGUCAUUUGGAGAAGUGUGGUAGGAAAUAUAAUCAAAUUUUGGCUUUUCGACCCACGGGAUGGACACAUUCUAAUAAAUUUACUAGUGUAUCAGACAUCAUUCCCCAGACCAAAGGAAACAUUUCAAUAUAUGGAAUUCCUUAUAGUGAACACAGCAGCUACAAAGAAAUGAAACGUUUUGUUCAGUGGCUGAAGCCCCAGCAAAUCAUACCCACCGUGAAUGUUGGUACCUUAGAAUCUAGGAGAACAAUGGAGAACUAUUUUAAAGAGUGGAAACUAGAAGCUGGAUAUUGAUAUGGCCUGAAAGGACUCAGAAUUAGUUAAGCAAGUUAGGUGCAGCUUAUAAGUAGUUCAAUAUUUAGUGAUAUGGAAUAAACUUGAAAUAAAUGUGAAAAACCUUAUGAAGGUCACUCACAUUGUUUAUUCUCUUAUUUAUAUUUGAACAACAUGGUUAUAGUGCUGAGUGCCUCUCAGCAUCACCAGUGAAAUGGAGACCCUUUAUUCCUUGCCCCUCCCCAUGGGGCAGUUAUGUUCUGUAUCCAGUGUCAUAUGAGGAAACAAAGGCAGGUCCAGGGACCAAAAGGAUUCACAUAUUCAUAGACUAAAACUUCAUAUUCAUAGACUGAAACUUUUAUAUGAUAUAUAUACUUAAAUAAAACAUAAUCUUACAAUUGCUGUCAUUUCCUUUGGUUUUUAGAAUUUAUAACCGUGAUGGUCGUAUAAUUUUAUACAUCUUAACAAAAAUAAUUCAACAUUUGACUCCAUAAAAGAUGAUCCAAAGAGCCUAGAUAAUCACCCAAUAAAGAAUGGAGAAAAGUGCAUGUUUACUCAAGACGUCAGUUUUUCUGCCUAUAAUUUGAAUGCCUGUCUGAACUUGUACUCUCUGCAAAGUUGUCACCUUCUUAUCACAGUUCCAGUGACUGGUUUGGCAGCAGGAAGGUUUUCCACUUGGUCACUUUGUAAUCAGUGCUCUAUCAGGAAGCUGCCCAGGACUUGUUUGUGCUAGUUCAGAAUGUGGCUCCCACAGAAUCACCAAAUACUUGGCUUGCCCUGCUUUAUGUCCACAUCCACAGUUCCUGUGUGUCUCUUUCAUCUUCCCUGAAACAAAGAUACACAUACACACAGUAAAAACUCAGAAAAGGAUAAUAUUAUGUAACAUUACAAAUGACAUCACCUUCAUGUUCUUGAUUAUUGAUCGACAUUUGGAUUAUGUGUUUUCCCUCAUUUUCUUGGGUCAGCAUAUGGUUAUUUCCUGCAUGUAGCUCUUCCCCUUCUUUUUUCCCUUGUCAUCCAUUCUUUUUUUUUUUUAAUAAUAACUUCAUAGUAUUAUUACUUUAAUUUUACAAUUAACCAGUCUUGUUUCCUGCCUUUAUUUGAACCACAUGAAAUGUCUCUCUGCCAUCUUUCCCAUCUUGUAUUUUGUGAUUUUCUCUUUGUAAUAGUUAUUGCAAGCCAUAAAUGAUUUGGUAAAUUAAAUAGAGAUAUAAGAGCAUGAUUGUUUUGUGAUAGAGUGUACAGCAAUAUGUUCCUAAUUACGUGCCUCCUGUUGUGUGACUGAAUUAAAACAUUCAUCCAAAAGAUACUUUACUGAGCAUAUUCUGGAUGCCAUGUACAUACUGUAGAUUCCAACAUCAGAUACCCUAGAAGCUAUUCAAUACGUCUGUGAAUGAAGGGGGAACUGCAGUCAUUCUUCACUGACAGGGGAGUUGGAGGAGAGGAUGAGAUGAGAUUAGACCUCACAGUAGGGAAACCCUGGAGAUGAAGCCAGGACAGUGUUCUAAGAGGAAAUGUUGGUCUCUGCUAUAGCAGUUUAGAUGGAGCAGAUGAAGUGAUGGAGGGUAGGUCUUGAGUAACUUUUAGAGAUGAACAUGAGCGUGUCAAGCAUUGCCACUCCAUGGCUCUUUGAUGAUGAAAACUUUUGAUUGGAGUGGCCACAAACCCAAGGGGAGAACUUUUUGAGCUUCAAUUCAAGAUGGCGAAAUUUGCCAAGUGACCUCAGAACUCUAACACCAUUUCAUGACAGUACUGCAGAAAGAGUCAUUGGUAGCAAUUAAUUUAGGAUUCUUUGAGAAGAGAUGUUGCUUAUGCAACAAGUAUGGUAAUGGAAACUUUGAUUUAAUGUCCAAAACUAAUUCAGGCCUGAUUCUAUCACUAAUUUUAUAAUCUUGUGCAAAUUAAUUCAUUUUCCUGGAUUGUUGAACGUAGGUCUCAGUUCCCUCUACUGGAAUGAGAGAGCUAAUUGAACUCUAGAUGAUCUUUUAUAAUUCUAUGAAUCUAUUUACUCAGUUGCUAUUUUUUUCCAGAGUUUUUCUUGCUUUUCCAGGGUUUAGUCAAGCUAAUUGUCACAAUGAAUGUGCUCUAUAAUAAAAUAUGUCAGAUGA